rnacentral:rRNA from 1 species
GACGGAGGGCGCAAGCGUUGUUCGGAAUUACUGGGCGUAAAGCGCGCGCAGGCGGGCAGGUAAGUCUGGUGUGAAAUUCCGGGGCUCAACUCCGGAGCUGCUUUGGAUACUGUCUUUCUAGGGACCGGUAGAGGCCGGUGGAAUUCCCGGUGUAGCGGUGGAAUGCGUAGAGAUCGGGAAGAACACCCGUGGCGAAGGCGGUCUGCUGGGCAGUUUCUGACACUGAUGCGCGACAGCGUGGGGAGCAAACAGG